AUGACGACGCUGCUGCCAAGGGUUUCCACCGGUACACGACGAGGCGAGAGGAAGGGUAGCCCCCGAUGCCCUCUCAGAAGGCCAGGUGGCACCCACAGGCGCCACCGCGCCGGUGUCGGCCACAGUCCGGAUGUAUUCACCUAUUCAACUCUAGUAUCUGCACUUUGCAGAAUGGGUAAGCUAGCUGAUGCUAUGGAUAAGUUCAGUGAGAUGAUUGGUACGGGAGUACAACCAGGCACAGUUGUUUAUCACUCCCUAAUUCAGGGUUUCUGUACACAUGGCGAUUUGGUGAAAGCAAAGGAGUUGGUAUAUGAAAUGAUGAACAAAGGUAGUCCUUGUCCAAACAUUGCAUUCUUCAGUUCAAUAGUAGACAGUCUAUGCAAAGAAGGAAGGGUUAUGGAUGCACACCAUAUCUUUGACUUGGUUAAAGACAUAGGUGAGAGACCUGACAUCAUUAUGUUUAAUACGCUGAUUGACGGAUAUUGCCUAGUCGGUGAGAUGGAGAAAGCAUGUGGUGUAUUUGAUGCCAUGGUAUCAGCUGUCGUUGAGCCUGAUGUCAUUACCUAUAGUACACUUGUCAGUGGAUAUUGUAAAAGUGGAAGGAUCGAUGAUGGGUUGAAUCUGUUCACAGAAAUGUUGCAUAAGAAAGUUAAACCUACAACUGUUACAUAUGGCACCAUACUGGAUGGGUUAUUUUGUGCUGGGAGAUCUGCUGCUGCAAAGAAAGUGUUCCAUGAGAUGAUCGAAAGUGGAAUAAUGGUGAGCAUUUCUACAUAUAAUAUAAUUCUUGGAGGACUUUGUAGAAAUAAUUGCGCAGAUGAAGCGAUCGUCCUAUUCCAGAAAUUGUGUGCAAUGAAUGUGAAGUUCAAUAUCACAACACUCAAUACCAUGCUUAAUGCAUUCUACAAGGUUCAAAGAAGAGAAGAAGCUAGUGAUUUGUUUGCUGCAUUACCAGCCAGCGGGUUGGUGCCUAAUGCUUCUACUUACGGAGUAAUGAUACAAAAUCUUCUAAAAGAAGGAGCGGUGGAAGAAGCUGACAGUAUGUUCUCAUCAAUGGAGAAGAGUGGUUGUGCUCCUAGCUCUCGUUUUUUAAAUUAUAUCAUCAGAACGUUAUUGGAAAAAGGGGAGAUAGACAAGGCCGGAAAAUAUAUGUCUAAAGUUGAUGGGAAGACUAUUUUGCUUGAAGCUUCAACUACUUCAUUGCUGAUGUCCCUCUUUUCAAGGGGAGGCAAAUAUCAGGAGCACAUACUCUUGCUCCCUGCAAAGUAUCAACUUUUUAGUGGAGUGAACCACAGU
rnacentral:rRNA from 1 species